CAGCUCUCAGACUGGGGGCUUGACCAAGCCAGACAAGGCAGUUGAUGGGAUUUUUGGAUUUGGGCAGCAUCAAUUAUCGGUCAUCUCGUAGCUGUCCUCUAUAGGUGUGACACCUAGAGUCUUUUCUCAUUGCUUGAAGGGAUCUGAUAAUGGCAGAAGCAUAUUGGUUCUCGGAGAGAUUAUCGAACCGGGUAUUGUCUAUACCCCUCUUGUUCCAUCACAUCACUGCCUUGGUUUGGAUUUGAGGUCUCAUUACAACUUACAUCUAGAGAGUAUUGCUGUCAAUGGACAAAUACUAUCAAUUAGCUAGUCCGUGAUUGAAGCAUCAAACACACACGGAACCAUCAUCGAUUGAGCACCACCUUGGCUUACCUUGCAGAGCAAGCUUAUGAUCAUUUUGAUAAUAGCUCCGUUUUCACCAUCAGUCCAUUUGAUCCCUCGAAAAGGAAACAAGCGUUUCAUCACAACCGGCAGGUAGUCGAGCAACUUCAACUACAACAUACCACAUCAGUCUGUCUAAAUCUGCCGUGUCGAUGAAUCAUUUCCUUCCAUAACAUUGAAUUUCAAUGGCGGCGCAUCCAUGCCAUUGAAGCCUGAAAACUCUUCUUCAACAAGGUUAUGUUGUAAGUCACUAGGAGCAUCUUCUCCAACAGUUAGGAAAUGACAACAUGAAACAAAUACUUCAAAAGUCUCUUAUAUCGUGCAGGAUAAUAUGGUCAUGUGGUGCGUUGGCUAGUAGAAGUAUCGGGGUUUAGGAAUUACGUUACUCGUAGGUUUGCAGCCUACGCCUCGGUUUCUGCUGGGUUCUUAUCUCAUCUACACAGAAAUGUGCUAAUAUAUCUUCUUGUGAUUUUGUUGGAAACUUGAUUUUGAACCGAUUAGUGUG